CUCUCUGGGUAUCCUUGUAUUGUCCUGUUCUGGAUGAAAACUUUGUUGUUUUCUCUCUCAUUUUUUUUUUAAUUUUUUUUUUUAUUUUUUUUAUUUUUCAUGUAUGCUAACUGGAGAGAAUGACUCUUGGAGAACAAUUUGGUGGCAGGAAAAGAUAGGAGAUAUGGGCGGAUACUCUUUAGACUGAGAUUUGUCAAAGCUGAUCUCUGUAGAGGCAGCAGACACAGGCGGAUGGGCCCAUUGGGAUCAUUUUGCUGAAGACCAUGAAUGGAGAUGAUGGUGCCAAGGAUACCACCACAGACAAUGUCGAUGCCAUAGGAACUGACCUCGCUGAAUUGACUGGGCUAAAGGAGACUGGCAUUCCUCUGGGGCAGCUAAUGUGGGCAAACGUGCUGAUGGAGUACUGCUUAACGUCUACCAGAAGUAACGAGGCACCUGGGAUUUUUGUUGCCUCAAACAUAGUCUUCUCCAGGUGCCUAUACUGGAUGGUGAAAAGAAGAAUGAAGAUGAGACAGCCGGUGCUGUCAGCUUUUCUUCCACCUGAUUCAGACUUUGGCCAUGCCCCGCAUCCGCUCCAGAAAGCCAAGGCUUCAGAUGAAGGAUGGAAGGAGGAAAGCAGGAGGCUGGGAAAUGAUUUUGGUCAUGUCCACACUGGCAGGUGCAGAGAUAUUUGAGCUCACUCUUCCACAUUAACCCUGGAACUUCUAGUGUGGGGACAGUUGGGUGAUAGUGGGUAGCAGAGACACCUGGGCUGGCUGGAUGCAUUCUGUUGGGAGAAAGAGAGUGUCCAGAUGCAACUUAGUUAUUUUUGUCUGGCCCUGGGCCCAAACUAAUAAGCUCAGAGAGAGGACACAUUAGCUCCCAUGAAAUGUCCAGGUUGCUGAGAUAUAUUGCAUCUGGACCACAUCCCGUUAAAGAGGCGGGUGUUAUGCUGUGUCCAGGGGUCUCUGUUAAUGUGCCUAUCUCCAUCAUCCAGUUCUUCAUACUCAGCAGAUGUGUCUUAAAAGUCGCUUGUAUCUGAAAGUCGUGCCUUCGCAGUUCUUUGGCGUGAAAGUCAGCUUACAGGUAUGUGUCUUUUAUAGCCCAGUAGAUCUUCCUAGGAGAUAACGCGAGCUGUUCCUUAAGCAUCUGUUAAUAAUUUAUAGGGGGCAUGGGAAAUAACAACGGUCAAAAGGCAACCAAAAAGCUUAGCAUGGAUAACUUCAACCAGAGGGCCAUUUGCUGCUGAUCUCCUGUGACCAAUAACAAAUUUCCUUAGUGUUUCUAUAAAUAAUACUGUUGUCUUCUCAAAACAGGAAGUCCUAUAUCCAGCACAAGGUAACUUGAUAAUGGACUGAAGACUGCUGAAUGGAAAAGUGUUAGUUACAGGCCCCCUAAAAAAGAAGUUGCUGAGGUACCAGAGAUCACAGUCGAUUUGAGUUUACUUUCUGCACGUAACUAUAGGGCACUGACCAAAAAUCUGCAUGUUUGGAACUUUAAUAGGGCCAGUUUUCCAAAGCUUAACGCCCUUGUUGGCAUAAUGACUGAGCAUAUUUUAAGAAGCAAGAUGUUGAAAUAAAUCAGGAAUUGUUCAAGAAUAUCA
ensembl:lncRNA